rnacentral:rRNA from 1 species
AGCGAACGCGAAGGAGCCUGUUAGUGAUAAUGACAGAGACAGAGGAACAAGCUGGGAAGCUUGGCGAUACAGGGUGAUAGCCCCGUACUCGAAGUCCAGGUCAUGGUACUAAGCUAACGACAAGUAGGGCGGGACACGUGAUAUCCUGUUUGAAGAUGGGGGGACCAUCCUCCAAGGCUAAAUACUCCUGAUUGACCGAUAGUGAACCAGUACUGUGAAGGAAAGGCGAAAAGAACCCCGGUGAGGGGAGUGAAAUAGAACCUGAAACCUUGUACGUACAAGCAGUGGGAGCCCUUUAAGGGUGACUGCGUACCUUUUGUAUAAUGGGUCAGCGACUUAUAUUUUGUAGCGAGGUUAACCGAAUAGGGGAGCCGAAGGGAAACCGAGUCUUAACUGGGCGUCUAGUUGCAAGGUAUAGACCCGAAACCCGGUGAUCUAGCCAUGGGCAGGUUGAAGGUUGGGUAACACUAACUGGAGGACCGAACCGACUAAUGUUGAAAAAUUAGCGGAUGACUUGUGGCUGGGGGUGAAAGGCCAAUCAAACCGGGAGAUAGCUGGUUCUCCCCGAAAUCUAUUUAGGUAGAGCCUUGAGCGGACACCUUCGGGGGUAGAGCACUGUUUCGGCUAGGGGUCCAUCCCGGAUUACCAACCCGAUGCAAACUACGAAUACCGAAGAGUGAUACUCAGGAGACACACGGCGGGUGCUAACGUCCGUCGUGGAGAGGGAAACAACCCAGACCGCCAGCUAAGGUCCCAAAGUCUAUAUUAAGUGGGAAACGAAGUGGGAAGGCUUAGACAGCUAGGAUGUUGGCUUAGAAGCAGCCAUCAUUUAAAGAAAGCGUAAUAGCUCACUAGUCGAGUCGGCCUGCGCGGAAGAUGUAACGGGGCUCAAAUAUAGCACCGAAGCUGCGGCAUCAGUAGCAGUACUGUUGGGUAGGGGAGCGUUCUGUAAGCGGAUGAAGGUGAAUCGAGAGGUUUGCUGGACGUAUCAGAAGUGCGAAUGCUGACAUAAGUAACGAUAAAACGGGUGAAAAACCCGUUCGCCGGAAGACCAAGGGUUCCUGUCCAACGUUAAUCGGGGCAGGGUGAGUCGGCCCCUAAGGCGAGGCUGAAAAGCGUAGUCGAUGGGAAACGGGUUAAUAUUCCCGUACUUGGAUAAACUGCGAUGUGGGGACGGAGCAGGUUAGGUUAUCGCACUGUUGGAUAUGUGCGUUUAAGUUUGUAGGUGUGAAGUUUAGGCAAAUCCGGACUUCUUUAACACCGAGAGAUGAUGACGAGGCUCUACGGAGCUGAAGUAACCGAUACCACACUUCCAGGAAAAGCCACUAAGCUUCAGGUUUAUCUAAACCGUACUGAAAACCGACACAGGUGGUCAGGUAGAGAAUACUCAGGCGCUUGAGAGAACUCGGGUGAAGGAACUAGGCAAAAUAGCACCGUAACUUCGGGAGAAGGUGCGCCGGCGUAGAUUGUAGUCCCUAGCGGGCGAAGGUUGAACCGGUCGAAGAUACCAGCUGGCUGCAACUGUUUAUUAAAAACACAGCACUCUGCAAACACGAAAGUGGACGUAUAGGGUGUGAUGCCUGCCCGGUGCUGGAAGGUUAAUUGAUGGUGUAAUCGAAAGAGAAGCUCCUGAUCGAAGCCCCAGUAAACGGCGGCCGUAACUAUAACGGUCCUAAGGUAGCGAAAUUCCUUGUCGGGUAAGUUCCGACCUGCACGAAUGGCAUAAUGAUGGCCAGGCUGUCUCCCCCCGAGACUCAGUGAAAUUGAAAUCGCCGUGAAGAUGCGGUGUACCCGCGGCUAGACGGAAAGACCCCGUGAACCUUUACUAUAGCUUGACACUGAACAUUGAAUUUUGAUGUGUAGGAUAGGUGGGAGACUUAGAAGUAGUCACGCCAGUGAUUAUGGAGUCGUCCUUGAAAUACCACCCUUUAACGUUUGAUGUUCUAACGAAGAUUACGAAACGUGGUCUCGGACAGUGUCUGGUGGGUAGUUUGACUGGGGCGGUCUCCUCCCAAAGAGUAACGGAGGAGCACGAAGGUUUGCUAAUGACGGUCGGACAUCGUCAGGUUAGUGCAAUGGUAUAAGCAAGCUUAACUGCGAGACAGACAAGUCGAGCAGGUACGAAAGUAGGUCAUAGUGAUCCGGUGGUUCUGAAUGGAAGGGCCAUCGCUCAACGGAUAAAAGGU